rnacentral:rRNA from 2 species
AGGCUUAACACAUGCAAGUCGAGCGCCCCGCAAGGGGAGCGGCAGACGGGUGAGUAACGCGUGGGAAUCUACCCUUUUCUACGGAAUAACGCAGGGAAACUUGUGCUAAUACCGUAUGAGCCCUUCGGGGGAAAGAUUUAUCGGGAAAGGAUGAGCCCGCGUUGGAUUAGCUAGUUGGUGGGGUAAAGGCCUACCAAGGCGACGAUCCAUAGCUGGUCUGAGAGGAUGAUCAGCCACAUUGGGACUGAGACACGGCCCAA